UUCGAGUCCCGUUCUCGUCUUUCACGUUUUCCUUUCUCCGCUCUUUUUUGUUUCUCUAUUCUCUCACUGUUCGCCGUUCGCGUCUGCCGCCGCCACCGCGGUUGCUCAGUCCGCCACGGCAGAUCACGGCUCACUUUCAGGGCAUUUGGACGCGCCCUCUCGGCGCAGUAGCUGCAGUCGUCUUGUUAGCGACCCCAGCCCCGCUCCAUUCCUUUAGAGUCCUUCCGGCCACCCUGCCAAACCCGCCGGCCCUGCCGCCGCCGCGGCGAGUCCGCCGAGGCCGGGGGCAUGUGGUUGUCGUUGGCUUGGCGUCGGAACCGUGCGCGGGGACGGUUUGGGGGCCGGUCGCGGCGCAGUUGGAACUGGAACGGGCGAUGCAGGCGGAGGCGACGGCAUAUGUGUCGGCACCGCGGUUGGGGCGGACAAGCACGACGAGGUGGAGCACGUCCCCUUCCCCAUCCUGCAGCUCCAGUGGGAUUGUAGCUAUGGUGUUUGGAGCUACUGGGUUCAUUAUGGCGUUAUCUUGUGCAACAGUUUGCCAAUAUGGGAUUUCCAGUGCUUGUCCCAUUCCAAGGUUCCGAGGAUUGUCACCGCCACCUGAAGAUUAUGGGUGACUUGAGUCAGGUAAACCAGUAAAAAAGUAGCUUCACCAAUUAACCCAUUUUUCUAUAUUUCUAUUUUUCAUCCUUUUACAGUGUGCUUUGCCGGUGGCCAAGGCCCCAUAUGCUGCUGGGUCUGGCGAUGGGAUGCAGCACCCCCUUUUCCGAUCCAGUGAAGUGUUCUGUGUAUCUAGAGAAAGGAAGACGACAUAGAGGAGCCACCUACUGAUGCGUGAAUUGCUCUUGGUCUCUAUCAUCACGCUGGAUUGUUAAUGUUUCUGUGAUAAUGUGCAAUAUCGAGAUUAAGUUUUGCUUGAUUUUGCUUGGUUUGAUUAAAUAAUGCCAAUAAUUUUUGAUUAGUUAUUAGAUACUCCCUUUGCUCUGCAAUGAUUGUCGUCUUCAACUGGAAUGCGUAGUGUCAGCAGGCCGAAGUUUGUAUUUGGAGGUUAUGUAAAUAAAAAAAGAGGGACUGUGUCAAUAAUGGUUUGAACACAUGGUACGCCAA